AGAGUUUGAUCCUGGCUCAGAUUGAACGCUGGCGGUAUGCUUAACACAUGCAAGUCGAACGGAAACGAUGGUAGCUUGCUACCAGGCGUCAAGUGGCGGACGGGUGAGUAACGCGUAGGAAUCUGCCCAGUAGUGGGGGACAACCAGGGGAAACCCUGGCUAAUACCGCAUACACUCUACGGAGAAAAGGAGGCCUCUUCUUGAAAGCUCGCUAUUGUAUGAGCCUGCGUGAGAUUAGCUAGUUGGUGAGGUAAAGGCUCACCAAGGCGACGAUCUCUAGCUGGUCUGAGAGGACGAUCAGCCACACUGGGACUGAGACACGGCCCAGACUCCUACGGGAGGCAGCAGUGGGGAAUAUUGGACAAUGGGCGCAAGCCUGAUCCAGCAAUGCCGCGUGUGUGAAGAAGGCCUGAGGGUUGUAAAGCACUUUCAAUUGGGAGGAAGCAUAGCGGUUAAUACCCGUUAUCUGUGACGUUAGCAACAGAAGAAGCACCGGCUAACUCCGUGCCAGCAGCCGCGGUAAUACGGAGGGUGCGAGCGUUAAUCGGAAUUACUGGGCGUAAAGCGUGCGUAGGCGGUUGCCUCAGUCAGAUGUGAAAGCCCCGGGCUUAACCUGGGAACUGCAUUUUGAACUGGUCGACUAGAGUUUUGUAGAGGGGGGUGGAAUUUCCAGUGUAGCGGUGAAAUGCGUAGAGAUUGGAAGGAACAUCAGUGGCGAAGGCGGCCACCUGGACAAAAGCUGACGCUGAGGCCCGAAAGCGUGGGGAGCGAACAGGAUUAGAUACCCUGGUAGUCCACGCCGUAAACGAUGUCAACUAGCCGUCCGUAGACUUGAUCUGUGGGUGGCGCAGCUAACGCAUUAAGUUGACCGCCUGGGGAGUACGGCCGUAAGGUUAAAACUCAAAUGAAUUGACGGGGGCCCGCACAAGCGGUGGAGCAUGUGGUUUAAUUCGAUGCAACGCGAAGAACCUUACCUACCCUUGACAUCCUCAGAACUUGUUAGAGAUAACUUGGUGCCUUCGGGAACUGAGUGACAGGUGCUGCAUGGCUGUCGUCAGCUCGUGUUGUGAAAUGUUGGGUUAAGUCCCGUAACGAGCGUAACCCUUGUCCUUAUUUGCCAGCAUGUAAUGGCGGGAGCUCUAAGGAGACUGCCGGUGACAAACCGGAGGAAGGUGGGGACGACGUCAAGUCAUCAUGGCCCUUAUGGGUAGGGCUACACACGUGCUACAAUGGGCGGUACAGAGGGCAGCGACCUCGCGAGAGCCAGCAAAUCCCAGAAAGCCGUUCCUAGUCCGGAUUGGAGUCUGCAACUCGACUCCAUGAAGCUGGAAUCGCUAGUAAUCGCGGAUCAGAAUGCCGCGGUGA
rnacentral:rRNA from 1 species